GUGGCGUGCCGACGUGCGACGGAGUCCGCGCUACCGGGAACAUCCUGACAUCCUCCAUCGCACCGUGUGACCCCGUGUCAUGCGGCCCCUACCACGGGAGAGAACGCUGAGCGUUACAAC
rnacentral:ncRNA from 1 species